GUGCUAAAAGCCUGUUCUUUUUCUGACAUAUUCCUUCACAGUUCCAUUGUACAUUUCAGUGGCCCUUAUUCCUUCCUCGCCCCUGUGUUUAGCUCCUCCCAGUGUGUCUUCCUGUCUGGAGUGGGAGGGCAGUAAGGGUGGCUGUGCAUUUAGCUGAAGGGGGGAAACCAGCUGCCUCCAUCUCCUGGAGGAACACAUGGAACUCUACUUCAACCCCAGCCGGCACUAUAAAGACCAUACAGAACCAAGACGGCUCCUACUCUGUGAAGAGACGGUUGGUCCUGCCUGAUAGUGGCUCUGAAGACCACCUGAUCUGUGCUGUCAUACACCCCUCCAGGGCAGAGAAGCACAUCGAGACAAACCUGGCAUUUUGUGGGAAGAAGCAGUCUGGUAAUUUGAGGAUGGACAUCUCUCAUUUCCUGAAGAUUGCAGGCAUCUGCACAAUUCCCAUCCUCCUGACCAUGGCGUAUGUAGUGAGAGGAGGAUGCAAGAAAGCAUCUCAGGAAUCAGAAGUGGAACUGAGUGAGCUGAGAAUACAGGAAGCUGACGUAUAACAAAGAGGCAGUAUGUGUGAGCCUCUAUGAUGAUGUGAUGUCAUUUUCAUUCAAUUGUAACAACUAUUUGACUGUCUUUUAAAUAAUACAUUUUGAGGCAUAAAGUUCAAUGAGACAUUUAUUUCAACUGUAGCUGUUGAAUACAUCUCAGUUACUUAAAUAAAUAAAUACGUUACUCAAGAACAGAACAGUGCUUCACCAAUUUAUUUACCAAAAAAUGCCACU
rnacentral:lncRNA from 1 species